CACGUAGGGGGCAAGCGUUGUCCGGAUUUAUUGGGCGUAAAGAGCUCGUAGGCGGCUCGGUAAGUCGGGUGUUAAACCCCCAGGCUUAACCUGGGGACGCCACCCGAUACUGCCGUGGCUAGAGUCCGGUAGGGGAGCGUGGAAUUCCUGGUGUAGCGGUGAAAUGCGCAGAUAUCAGGAGGAACACCAGCGGCGAAGGCGGGUCUCUGGGCCGAUACUGACGCUGAGGAGCGAAAGCGUGGGGAGCGAACAGG
rnacentral:rRNA from 1 species